UACGUAGGCAGCAAGCGUUGUUCGGAGUUACUGGGCGUAAAGGGUGUGUAGGCGGCUUUUUAAGUUUUGGUGUGAAAUCUCCCGGCUCAACCGGGAGGGUGCGCCGAAUACUGAGAGGCUAGAGUGCGGGAGAGGAAAGUGGAAUUCCUGGUGUAGCGGUGAAAUGCGUAGAUAUCAGGAGGAACACCGGUGGUGUAGACGGCUUUCUGGACCGUAACUGACGCUGAAACACGAAAGCGUGGGUAGCAAACAGG
rnacentral:rRNA from 1 species